rnacentral:rRNA from 1 species
UACGUAGGGGGCAAGCGUUGUCCGGAAUCAUUGGGCGUAAAGAGCGUGUAGGCGGCCCGGUAAGUCCGCUGUGAAAGUCCAGGGCUCAACCCUGGAAUGCCGGUGGAAACUGUCGGGCUAGAGUCCGGAAGAGGCGAGUGGAAUUCCUGGUGUAGCGGUGAAAUGCGCAGAUAUCAGGAGGAACACCAAUGGCGAAGGCAGCUCGCUGGGACGGUACUGACGCCGAGACGCGAAAGCGUGGGGAGCAAACAGG